GUGCUGAUUUCAGCAGCACAUGUACUACAAUUGGAACUUACAAAGAUUAGCAUGGUUCCUUCUCAGAGACAACACACAAAAUUGUGAAGCAUUCCAUAUUUAA
rnacentral:snRNA from 1 species